AGCCCAUCUAACCGGUUUCUAGACACAACAAUCACGAGUACACAACUUCAUCAACAAUUGGUUUACGUUCGCCUUCUCUCAAAUUGAUUGCCGAAGGGUGUAGGUCAAUAAACGAUAAAAAAAAAUCAAAGGUAAAACCCAGCCCGCGCUGUUGGACGAAUUUGCUCGAUUGGCUGCUUUCCAUUUAGCCAUAAAAGAAGAGAAAGUAAAAGAAAAGGUAUAGGCCAAAUAAAACCUUGUGACCAGCUUGCAAUACAUCCAGUUCAUAUUGCAACAUCAAAUAACACAGUCACAGAAUUCGAAUACGUAAAUCGUGAAUAAAAUGAAGCCAGUAGUCACAACAUUUCUAUUGUUUUUUACUGUCUCGGCAAUCCUUACGACAGAUGCCCAACUCAUUCGCAAUGGCGUCUUGAACGCCGGAUUCCGCCAAACAGCUGCCGCAGUCUCGCAAUGUGGCCCGGUUCAUGGCUCGUGUCCCAGUGAAUUGUGUUGCUCCGCUUACAACGAGUGUGGAAAUACGAUCGCGCAUUGCAACGUCUCACUUGGUUGCAAAAAUAAGUGGGGCAAUUGCAGUUAAUUGAGUCGUUUCAACCCAAAUCGACAGAUAUUAAUUCAAAAAAAAAAAAAAAAAAAAAUGAAAAACCCAUUCCCAUUACGGUCAAAACACUCAUUUGAUAUGCAACCUGGCGACUAAGAACGGUCGAUUAAAAAUCCCCCAAUUUAUUUAUUUUAUGUACAAGCAUGUAUGCCAAGUUGGCUACGAUUGCACAUCUAUUCAUCAUGAGCUUUUCAUUCAUGCUUACUCAUAAAUAAAUUGAAAGAGGUCACAAAGUCA